rnacentral:rRNA from 1 species
AGUGAACGCUGGCGGUAGGCCUAACACAUGCAAGUCGAACGGCAGCACAGUAAGAGCUUGCUCUUACGGGUGGCGAGUGGCGGACGGGUGAGGAAUACAUCGGAAUCUACUUUUUCGUGGGGGAUAACGUAGGGAAACUUACGCUAAUACCGCAUACGACCUACGGGUGAAAGCAGGGGAUCUUCGGACCUUGCGCGAUUGAAUGAGCCGAUGUCGGAUUAGCUAGUUGGCGGGGUAAAGGCCCAUCAAGGCGACGAUCCGUAGCUGGUCUGAGAGGAUGAUCAGCCACACUGGAACUGAGACACGGUCCAGACUCCUACGGGAGGCAGCAGUGGGGAAUAUUGGACAAUGGGCGCAAGCCUGAUCCAGCCAUACCGCGUGGGUGAAGAAGGCCUUCGGGUUGUAAAGCCCUUUUGUUGGGAAAGAAAAGCAGCAGGUUAAUACCCCGCUGUUCUGACGGUACCCAAAGAACAAGCACCGGCUAACUUCGUG